UGGCGCGCAUUUUCCUACGGAGUAAACAUUUGCACGUGGUGCACUGCAGCAGCCGGUGACCGGAAGUGACGUUCAACCCAGGAAGCAGCGUGUGAGGAGACCGAUGCAGAUGUGACCCGCUGCCGCCGCCGCCGCCGCCGCCGGCCUCCACCACACCGAGUCGGCCAGGGCAGCUACUCUUUUGAAUGUUGAGGUUUUUGGGUACCUGAAAGAAAAUGGUGUGCUUCAUCCAUUAGCAAAUUUGCAAGAGGAAACAAAUGUCUUCAAACACGAAGGACAGCUCUGUGGGUGACAUUAAAAGCGAGCAUCAGGAUCCAGUGCUGCAAACUAUUGUGUUUCCGAAGCUGCCGGACUAGAUGUUUGUUGGCUUCAGUGCACAGGGCAGCUACUCUUUUGAAUGUUGAGGUUUUUGGGUACCUGAAAGAAAAUGGUGUGCUUCAUCCAUUAGCAAAUUUGCAAGAGGAAGCAAAUGUCUUCAAACACAAAGGACAGCUCUGUGGGUGACAUUAAAAGCGAGCAUCAGGAUCCAGUGCUGCAAACUAUUGUGUUUCCGAAGCUGCCGGACUAGAUGUUUGUUGGCUUCAGUGCACAGGGCAGCUACUCUUUUGAAUGUUGAGGUUUUUGGGUACCUGAAAGAAAAUGGUGUGCUUCAUCCAUUAGCAAAUUUGCAAGAGGAAGCAAAUGUCUUCAAACACGAAGGACAGCUCUGUGGGUGACAUUAAAAGCGAGCAUCAGGAUCCAGUGCUGCAAACUAUUGUUUCCGAAGCUGCCGGACUAGAUGUUUGUUGGCUUCAGUGCACAGGGCAGCUACUCUUUUGAAUGUUGAGGUUUUUGGGUACCUGAAAGAAAAUGGUGUGCUUCAUCCAUUAGCAAAUUUUCAAGAGGAAGCAAAUGUCUUCAAACACGAAGGACAGCUCUGUGGGUGACAUUAAAAGCGAGCAUCAGGAUCCAGUGCUGCAAACUAUUGUGUUUCCGAAGCUGCCGGACUAGAUGUUUGUUGGCUUCAGUGCACAGGGCAGCUACUCUUUUGAAUGUUGAGGUUUUUGGGUACCUGAAAGAAAAUGGUGUUCUUCAUCCAUUAGCAAAUUUUCAAGAGGAAGCAAAUGUCUUCAAACACGAAGGACAGCUCUGUGGGUGACAUUAAAAGCGAGCAUCAGGAUCCAGUGCUGCAAACUAUUGUGUUUCCGAAGCUGCCGGACUAGAUGUUUGUUGGCUUCAGUGCACAGGGCAGCUACUCUUUUGAAUGUUGAGGUUUUUGGGUACCUGAAAGAAAAUGGUGUGCUUCAUCCAUUAGCAAAUUUUCAAGAGGAAGCAAAUGUCUUCAAACACGAAGGACAGCUCUGUGGGUGACAUUAAAAGCGAGCAUCAGGAUCCAGUGCUGCAAACUAUUGUGUUUCCGAAGCUGCCGGACUAGAUGUUUGUUGGCUUCAGUGCACAGGGCAGCUACUCUUUUGAAUGUUGAGGUUUUUGGGUACCUGAAAGAAAAUGGUGUGCUUCAUCCAUUAGCAAAUUUUCAAGAGGAAGCAAAUGUCUUCAAACACGAAGGACAGCUCUGUGGGUGACAUUAAAAGCGAGCAUCAGGAUCCAGUGCUGCAAACUAUUGUGUUUCCGAAGCUGCCGGACUAGAUGUUUGUUGGCUUCAGUGCACAGGGCAGCUACUCUUUUGAAUGUUGAGGUUUUUGGGUACCUGAAAGAAAAUGGUGUGCUUCAUCCAUUAGCAAAUUUUCAAGAGGAAGCAAAUGUCUUCAAACACGAAGGACAGCUCUGUGGGUGACAUUAAAAGCGAGCAUCAGGAUCCAGUGCUGCAAACUAUUGUGUUUCCGAAGCUGCCGGACUAGAUGUUUGUUGGCUUCAGUGCACAGGGCAGCUACUCUUUUGAAUGUUGAGGUUUUUGGGUACCUGAAAGAAAAUGGUGUGCUUCAUCCAUUAGCAAAUUUUCAAGAGGAAGCAAAUGUCUUCAAACACGAAGGACAGCUCUGUGGGUGACAUUAAAAGCGAGCAUCAGGAUCCAGUGCUGCAAACUAUUGUGUUUCCGAAGCUGCCGGACUAGAUGUUUGUUGGCUUCAGUGCACAGGGCAGCUACUCUUUUGAAUGUUGAGGUUUUUGGGUACCUGAAAGAAAAUGGUGUGCUUCAUCCAUUAGCAAAUUUGCAAGAGGAAGCAAAUGUCUUCAAACACGAAGGACAGCUCUGUGGGUGACAUUAAAAGCGAGCAUCAGGAUCCAGUGCUGCAAACUAUUGUGUUUCCGAAGCUGCCGGACUAGAUGUUUGUUGGCUUCAGUGCACAGGGCAGCUACUCUUUUGAAUGUUGAGGUUUUUGGGUACCUGAAAGAAAAUGGUGUGCUUCAUCCAUUAGCAAAUUUUCAAGAGGAAGCAAAUGUCUUCAAACACGAAGGACAGCUCUGUGGGUGACAUUAAAAGCGAGCAUCAGGAUCCAGUGCUGCAAACUAUUGUGUUUCCGAAGCUGCCGGACUAGAUGUUUGUUGGCUUCAGUGCACAGGGCAGCUACUCUUUUGAAUGUUGAGGUUUUUUGGUACCUGAAAGAAAAUGGUGUGCUUCAUCCAUUAGCAAGUUUGCAAGAGGAAGCAAAUGUCUUCAAACACGAAGGACAGCUCUGUGGGUGACAUUAAAAGCGAGCAUCAGGAUCCAGUGCUGCAAACUAUUGUGUUUCCGAAGCUGCCGGACUAGAUGUUUGUUGGCUUCAGUGCACAGGGUCCUAAAGUUAUCCACAGGAUUACAAUGGGAUAUGAUGGAGCGACAGCGGAUUGGCACCAAACGAUCACAAGUUUCAGACCUCUCAGGAUGCAACGGGCUCGUCCAUAUAACCCCUCCCACUGGCUUAGGCAAAUCAGUUUUUUGUUUGGUACGGCAGGAGUCAGACCAUGGUCACAGGGCUGCUGUGUUUGGCAGCGCUAAGCUUUUUUAUUCUAUUUUUAUAGUCUUACUACACUGUUUUUGAGUGAUCUUUCCUAACAUCGUCUUACACGCAUAUUGGAAAGAGUCGCUCCAACAACUCUCCGCCGGGUCGCAAGAAUGCUUACCCGCGGUACAAGUGCUGUCUAGAUGGUCGUCUGUGUCAGAUAUACUAGCAGGUCCAGCAGACGUUUACCAGGCUAUGUUCGGAGCACGGGGAGAAAGUAAGGCAUGUGUUCCACUUAGAAGGGGAAUACGGACACAGCCGCACUGUUUUGGGAGAGGAGACUACCAAACAGUAACUGGCGCGCUGCCACCACGGGUCCUCCAGCGCUAGGCCUGAAGGAUAUGAGGCACCAGGAUUAGUUUGAGGCUGCGAUCCCUAGGGUUGAUGUCAGUGGUGGGGAGUCAGACACUCUCCUGGUUGCCCCUCCCCACAGUUCAUGACCAUUUUUCUCACUUCUAUCUCAGACGCUACCACGAGGAGACUCGGUCGCAGCAUAGACCGCUGCGUCUGUGUACACUAAGGUUACCGCUAGGAGAUCGGGUCGCAGACGUGUGCAUCUGCAUGCACCAUGCACUAGCGUUCACUGAGCGUCUGAUUCCACUAAAAAGUUCACGGAGCAGCAGUGUACACUAGUAGCAUCUGGAUCCACUCAGCGUUUGCUAAAGUAUUGAUCGAUCCUGGAAGUGGGGAUAACUACACAAGAACAAGGAAUGUAUGAAGAACAAACACUUCAUUUUUGUUUUAUUACAAUUUAUUUUUUCGGAACAAUACAAAACACAACGGUUUAAUUUUCUUCAAUAAAAUUUUAAAUUUA